AUGGGCUCAGCCAGGAGCACCGCGACCCCGUGCUCGGUCUGCGUCAGGGUAUACAUGGGUGUCACCACCAGCCAGCUCGACGAGCUCGCCGCCGAGACCGCCGCCCCGCUCACCGCCUCCCAGCCAGACUAUGCCUCCCUUGCGGCGAGGAUUGUUGUGUCCAACCUGCCGCCAAGUGGAAAUAGUCUGUGUGGCGCUCGUAAAUAG
rnacentral:rRNA from 1 species